UUGCCUACGGGAGGCAGCAGUAGGGAAUCUUCCACAAUGGGCGAAAGCCUGAUGGAGCAACGCCGCGUGAGUGAAGAAGUAUUUCGGUAUGUAAAGCUCUAUCAGCAGGGAAGAAAAUGACGGUACCUGAGUAAGAAGCCCCGGCUAACUACGUGCCAGCAGCCGCGGUAAUACGUAGGGGGCAAGCGUUAUCCGGAUUUACUGGGUGUAAAGGGAGCGUAGACGGCGAUGCAAGUCUGAAGUGAAAGCCCGGGGCUCAACCCCGGGACUGCUUUGGAAACUGUAUGGCUGGAGGGCUGGAGAGG
rnacentral:rRNA from 1 species